GCCGGACUCUUAUGUGGAGAGGUCUUGGGUUCGAGUGGUGGGGGAGGCGACCUGAUAUUCCUAUGUGGGGAAUAUUGGGCCAAAUCCCAUUGGCCUCGUGAGGUCUUGGGACAAAUCCUGCCCGGCGGUUGUGAGGCCAAUGGGAUGGAUCACGGGAGGGUCGGACUUCAGGCUCUGGGCCGUGUGGGCUCGGGAGAUGGGAGAGGGACCCCCGUGACAUAAAAAGG
rnacentral:lncRNA from 1 species